GUGAAUCAUCGAAUUUUUGAACGCAAAUUGCACUCUCUUCGGAGAGUAUGCCUGUUUGAGGGUCAGUAUAAUCAAAAUCGGAGCGAUGCUUUUUGGGUGACGCACCGGAGUUUGGGUCAUCUAACUUUUUUUUUUUAGGAAACCUAAAAUUACAAUCUUUUUUUGUUCCUUUUUGAGAGGUACAUAUUUUUUUUUUUUUCUUUUCCCUUGGUGCCAAAAUUUUUUUUGAAUCGUGAAUCACGU
rnacentral:misc_RNA from 1 species